rnacentral:rRNA from 1 species
GACCAUCCUCCAAGGCUAAAUACUCCUGACUGACCGAUAGUGAACCAGUACCGUGAGGGAAAGGCGAAAAGAACCCCGGCGAGGGGAGUGAAAAAGAACCUGAAACCGUGUACGUACAAGCAGUGGGAGCACGCUUAGGCGUGUGACUGCGUACCUUUUGUAUAAUGGGUCAGCGACUUAUAUUCUGUAGCAAGGUUAACCGAAUAGGGGAGCCGAAGGGAAACCGAGUCUUAACUGGGCGUUAAGUUGCAGGGUAUAGACCCGAAACCCGGUGAUCUAGCCAUGGGCAGGUUGAAGGUUGGGUAACACUAACUGGAGGACCGAACCGACUAAUGUUGAAAAAUUAGCGGAUGACUUGUGGCUGGGGGUGAAAGGCCAAUCAAACCGGGAGAUAGCUGGUUCUCCCCGAAAGCUAUUUAGGUAGCGCCUCGUGAAUUCAUCUCCGGGGGUAGAGCACUGUUUCGGCAAGGGGGUCAUCCCGA